rnacentral:rRNA from 1 species
ACGGCGAGUGAGAGGAAGAGCUCAAAGUUGGAACCUGUUUGGCCUAGCUAAACCGGAUUGAAGACUGUAGAAGUGUUUUCCAGGCAAGCCGAGUAAAUAAGUCCUUUGGAACAGGGCAUCAUAGAGGGUGAGAAUCCCGUCUUUGGCUUGAGCAUUUGCCUUUUGUGAUACGCUUUCAAAGAGUCAGGUUGUUUGGGAAUGCAGCCUAAAUUGGGUGGUAAAUCUCACCUAAAGCUAAAUAUUGGCGAGAAACCGAUAGCGAACAAGUACCGUGAGGGAAAGAUGAAAAGAACUUUGAAAAGAGAGUUAAACAGUAUGUGAAAUUGUUAAAAGGGAACCGUUUGGAGCCAGACUGGCUUGUCUGUAAUCAAUCUAGGCUUCGGCCUGGAUGCACUUGCAGGCUAUGCCUGCCAACGACAAUUUGACUUGAGGGAAAAAACUAGGGGAAAUGUGGCCCACUUGUGGGUGUUAUAGUCCCUUAGAAAAUACCUUGGGUUGGAUUGAGGAACGCAGCGAAUGCUUAUUGGCGAGUUUUCCAGGAAGGUUUUCUGAGGUACUACGGUAUCAAGGUUGAUCUUUUUGGUUAUACUUCUAUUCGCUUAGGUUGUUGGCUUAAUGACUCUAAAUGACCCGUCUUGA